GGGCCCCGAGCGCCUCGCACUUGCCCGCGCCCCCGCCGCCCGCUUCUCGGUGUUAGAUUCAUCCAAGUGCUAAGAUGCCUCAGGUGAGGAACUGAUGAUAAUCGGUAAUUAUCCAAGAGUGAAAUACUUUCCUUGGACGAAAAAGAAUGAAGUUUUUCUCUGUCAUCCCACCGCCCCCCCCCACCCCCAAGGAUAAAUGCAAAAAAAAGUGAGAAACUGACGCCAGAAAAAAUACCUCUUGUGCCCCAGGCAAUGAACACCUCUAGUCAAUAUGACAGAAGUUGUCCUGAGUCGCCACCUCAGAGCCUCAGCCAGAAAGGACUCUUAUCUAUGUCCUGAAUUGA